AGGUGCUGCAUGGCUGUCGUCAGCUCGUGUCGUGAGAUGGUUAGGGUUAACGUCCCGUAACGAGCGCAACCCUUGUCCUUAGUUACCAGCACGUUAUGGUGGGCACUCUAAGGAGACUGCCGGUGACAAACCGGAGGAAGGGUGGGGAUGACGUCAAGUCAUCAUGGCCCUUACGGCCUGGGCUACACACGUGCUACAAUGGUCGGUACAAAGGGUUGCCAAGCCGCGAGGUGGAGCUAAUCCCAUAAAACCGAUCGUAGUCCGGAUCGCAGUCUGCAACUCGACUGCGUGAAGUCGGAAUCGCUAGUAAUCGUGAAUCAGAAUGUCACGGUGAAUACGUUCCCGGGCCUU
rnacentral:rRNA from 1 species